GCCCGGGUGGUGGAAUUGGUAGACGCAGGGGACUCAAAAUCCCCCGCCGCAAGGCGUGCCGGUUCGAUUCCGGCCUCGGGCA
rnacentral:tRNA from 2 species